ACAACGCCAUUAUUGACGAGAUCACUCCCAAGCGGAUUGGAGAUUGUCCCAAUAUUUAGACCUAUAGCAAGGCCUUGGGAGAAAUGGUGGUGCAGCAGGAGAGCAGGAACCUAACCAUUGCCAUCCUAAGGCCCUCCAUUGUGUGGAGCAACGUGGCACCAGCUUUUCCUGGGUUGGGUUGAUAAUCUAAAUGGAUGUAGCCGACUCAUUAUUGCGGCUGGGAAAGGGUUUCUUUUGGCCAUAAAAGCUACUCCAAUGGCUGUGGGAGACUUAAUUCCAAUUCCAGGUGAUACAGCCGUCAGUCUCCCACUAGCUGUAGGAUGGUGUGCUGCAGUUCACAGACCUAAGUCAAUGUUAGUCUACUACUGUACAUCUGGUAACCUCAAUCCCUGCAACCGAGGCAAAAUGGGAUUCCAGGUCUUGGCAACCUUUGAAAUUCCAAUUCCAUUUGCGAGAGCUUUGAGGAGGCCAUAUGCUGAUUUUACCACCAGCAACUUCACAACCCAGUACUGGAAUGCCAUCAGCCAGCAGGCCCCUGCCAUCAUCUGUGACUUCUAUCUGUGGCUCACUGGAAGGAAACCCAG
rnacentral:lncRNA from 1 species